rnacentral:rRNA from 1 species
GACGAACGCUGGCGGCGUGCUUAACACAUGCAAGUCGAACGGAAAGGCCCUGCUUUUGUGGGGUGCUCGAGUGGCGAACGGGUGAGUAACACGUGAGUAACCUGCCCUUGACUUUGGGAUAACUUCAGGAAACUGGGGCUAAUACCGGAUAGGAGCUCCUGCUGCAUGGUGGGGGUUGGAAAGUUUCGGCGGUUGGGGAUGGACUCGCGGCUUAUCAGCUUGUUGGUGGGGUAGUGGCUUACCAAGGCUUUGACGGGUAGCCGGCCUGAGAGGGUGACCGGCCACAAUGGGACUGAGAUACGGCCCAGACUCCUACCGGGGGCAACAGGGGGGAAUAUUGCACAAUGGGCGGGAGCCUGAUGCAGCAACGCCGCGUGCGGGAUGACCGCCUUCGGGGUGUAAACCGCUUUCGCCUGUGACGAAGCGUUAGUGACGGUAAUUGGUAAAGAAGCACCGGCUAACUACGUG